rnacentral:rRNA from 1 species
AGUCGAACGGGGUAGAGCAGCAAUGCUUUACUUUAGUGGCGCACGGGUGCGUAACGCGUAUGCAACCUACCUCUUAUUGGGGGAUAGCCCACCGAAAGGUGGAUUAAUACCGCAUACUACCAGUUGAGGGCAUCUGAGACUGGUGAAAGCCUUCGGGCGAUAGGAGAUGGGCAUGCGUGCCAUUAGCUAGUUGGUAGUGUAACGGACUACCAAGGCGACGAUGGCUAGGGGUUCUGAGAGGAUGGUCCCCCACACUGGUACUGAGACACGGACCAGACUCCUACGGGAGGCAGCAGUAGGGAAUAUUGGGCAAUGGACGAGAGUCUGACCCAGCCAUGCCGCGUGCAGGAAGAAGGCCUUCUGGGUUGUAAACUGCUUUUAUCUAGGAAGAAAACGCCCUUGCGAGGGUAACUGACGGUACUAGAUGAAUAAGCACCGGCUAACUCCGUGCCAGCAGCCGCGGUAAUACGGAGGGUGCAAGCGUUGUCCGGAUUUAUUGGGUUUAAAGGGUGCGUAGGCGGCCCAUUAAGUCAGAGGUGAAAUCCCGUGGCUCAACCACGGAACUGCCUUUGAUACUGGUG